UAUAUUUAUAAUAUUUACAUUUAUGAUAUUUAAAUUAAUAUAAAAUGUAAUAAAUAUGUACAUUGAAUCCAAAUACUAUGUUUAUUUUGGAUUUAUUUAAGUAACAUUUCUUAUAUUAUCUGUACCAUUUAAUGUAAUAUGUGGUUUCAUUCUAUUAACAGUGUAAGUUAAUAGAUGUAGAUCUUGCAUAAGACGAGUCAAUCUUUUGAAGUGACGUUCUGUAUAAGGUAUCAUGCCUUCAAGAGAAGACAAUAGACCUGUAGUUUGAAGAUCUUCUAUAUCCAUUUCACUUGUCAAUACAUGUAUAACUGUCUGUAAAUUACAUAAUUAUAAAAUUUUAUGUUUCAGACAAAUAAAAUAAUUUUGUUGUAUUUUAAUUAUUGUUGCUUGAUAUACCUGAGCAGCUUGCGCAUUUUUACUGUUAGUAUUCCAUGUAAUCGCACAACGCAAUAGAGCUUCCUUACAAGAAGGUGUCAAUUCAUGUAUUGUUUUUUUUAAUUCAUUAUUUUCUCCUUUUAAGAUCCCUAUAUAAUUGUAAAGUUAGAUUAUAAGACCUCUAUAUAAAUUUUUUUUAUAAUUUAACUGUAGUGACCUAUCCUUGUGUUUAAUCCUCUUUUUUUUUUUAUUAAUACAAUUAUAUAUUUUUUAUACCUUCUACAAUCUUUAAAACUUGUAAUGGACGCUCCAAUUCCAAAGCUAUUUGUAAUGCAGUAGAUAAUUCAUUCGCUUGAAGUAAAUUUGCUAAUUUUUGUUCUUCCAAUAUAAUUCGUUCUUUUUCUGCAGCAAUUUGAGUCUUUUUCUCUUCAGUUACAUCUUUCCAAAUUACCAAUAAAGAAUCACUUCCACCACUAAUAACAUGUUUUUCGUCUUUACUAACUAGAUAAAAAAAUAAAUAAAUGAAUAUAAUUAAAGAAAGCUUAUACAAAUAAAUAUUUAGCAAAUAUCAAAUAUGUAAAAUAAUAUAAAAUAAUCUAACCAACAAGUGCCCAUACACGAUUCUCAUGCUUAUCCAAGGUACAAACACAUUCGGAUGUUUUAAUACUCCAAAGUUUUAAAAGGCCAUCUGCACCUGCGGUAAUCAAUUGCAUACCACGAGACAUAAAUUCUGCCCUUAAAACAGAGGAUUCAUGUCCCUGCAAGGUCUAGAUAAUAUAUAGAAAAAAAAAAUUAUAUAAACAAGAAAUGUUACAUGAACAUAAAUAACAUAAUGUUUAAACUUUAGGUACCUUCAAACAAGAAAGAUCAGACAAUGACCAUAUCUUAAUUGUACAAUCCGCAGAUGUUGUCAGCAAUACUUGAUCGAUUGGCGAAAAUCGUACACACCACACACCUCUGCGAUGACCGUUAAAUACACCAAGUAAUUGAAGAUCAUCAGCAGACCAUAACUAAAAUAUAUUCAAAAUAGUUAAUUAUAUGGAAGUCAUGGUAUAUUUUAAUAUGUUACUACCUUGGCAACUUUGUCUUGAGAUCCAGUUGCAAUGAACUUAUCAUUUGGUGAAAUUGUUACACUGUUAAUAUCUUUCUGAUGUGCUAACACUGUAUGUGUUGCAUUCACAACAAUAUGUUCAGCUGUAAAGACCAAAGUUUAAGGCAUGAAUCCUGACUGACCGAUGCAAAGAAUUUCGCUGAUAAUUGUGAAAUAAUAACAGAGCCAACAGAAGCUGUAUGUCUAAUAGCAGAAGCAAUGCAUGUCAUUUUAGUUGUUUCCUUAUCCAUAAGCCAUAUUCGAAUACUAUUAUCCUAACAAUAAUAAUAUAAAUAUAACAUAUUAGCAAUAUAUACAUUCGCAUAUUAGUAGAUUUAAUAGAUAUAGAAAAAUGAAAAAAGGAAUUAAACUUUCAUUACCUUAGCUGAAGAUAUAAGUAAUUGUCUAUUGACUGGAGUUGUAGCAAGAGAUAAAACGAUGUCAGUAUGACCAGAAAGUAAUUGACAAUUCAUGGAAUUUAAUUCAUAUAAUUUUAUAUCUGAACUAUUACUUGCGAGUGCAAUAUGUGAAUCUUCAUUUCCAACAUAAGCAAUAUCUAAUAUUUCAUCCGUAUAUCCUACUAUCUAUAAUAUAUUAAAUUUUCUUCAUAUUAACAAAACAUGAUAAACAAUAUGAAAAUAUUUUGUAAAUACAUAAAAACAUACUUGUUUUGUACAUUCAAAUGUAUUUAUAGAAUGUAUAAUUAUAUUAUGAUCUGCAGAAACCACAGCAAAGCUAUUAAUAACUUGAUUAUAAAGUAGAUGCAUAAUGGAAAGACCCCCUUCCUCUUUGGCUGCAGAUACCAAGGAAUUUUGUUGUGCAUAACAUUUUCUACCAGUGUUCAUUUCCCAAAUAUUUACAACACCUAAACAAUUAGAAAUAGAAAUGUUAUUCAUUUAUUAAAUAAUGUAUAGAGGAAAAUAUUCAAAUGAAAAAUAUCGAACCUUUUUCUCCGGCACUAGCUACAUAAAUAGAAUCUGCUUCAAUUCCAUCUGGACAAUUUGGAAAAGAAAUAUUAUUUGGUACAAUGAAAGCCCCUUCUAUUCCUUCAUAUACUGGUAGAACACGGACUGAAGUUGCAGAAGAAAUGUCCCAUAAAAUUAAUACUCUGUCUCUUCCAGAACUAUACAUUUUGAAAAGUACAUAAUUUUAAUUUUAUAGAAAUAUGAAAAUAUAUUGUUAUACGUUACCUAAUUAAGUUGAUGCCAUUUUGAUGAAAACAUAGUGAUGUUACUUUACUAAAAUGUCCAGAAAGGAGAAUCUUUUCCUGGCCAGUAUUAAUAUCCCAACCAUGUAUCUUGGUAUCGUCGCCUGCUCCAAAUAAUAAUUCUUUUUUAGUAUCAGGAUGAAAUGCUAACACACUGAAAUCAAUAUUCAAAAAAUAAACAUGUUUAAUAAAAUAAAAUAAUAGAAAAUAAUAGAAAUAUAAUAAUUAUAUACCUAAUAACACCUUGUAUUCCUUUGAUAUUUUGUGUGCAAGCAUGAUGUUGUAAAUCCCACAACCUAAUACUACCAUCGCUUCCUCCCGAAGCCAUCAAAUUUUUUUUAUUUAAAAAAGAAAUCUUUACAACUGGUCCUUUAUGAAUAGAUUUCCAUAUUUUUAUUAAUUUAUUUUCUAAAAUAAUAUAAGAUUCAUAAGAAGAUAAUAACAAGAUGAAUUUAUUUAUAAGAAUACACAAAUAAAAUAAUAAAAAUAUUAUUUUUGAAAUACCUUUCCAAUUCCAUAACUUAAAUAGACUACUUUUACAGUGAGCUAGUAUAUGCAAAUUGUCAUCGCUGACAGCAAAACAAUGGAUUGUAUCCUCAUCUUGCUCAUGUUCUUCCUCUGUUGCUCCCAAAGAUUGAAUCACAGUACCUGUAUCUACUGAUAACACAGAUAUAACUCCGCAUUUUUGGCAAAAUAUAUGUUUUCCGUCAAUAUUCCACUGUAAACACAAUAAUGAUAUAUAUUUUUUGUAAUUUUCACAAUUAUUAAAACUAAUUACUAUGUAAGUUUUUAUAACAUACAUAAAUAUCACCUCCUGUGUAAAAAGCACCAUACAUAGAUUCUACUUCAAAACUGGAAAUAAACAAUAAUAUUUUUUAGGUUUUAUAAAAAAGGAAGAAUUAUAGAAAGCAUCAGUAAUCACAAAUAAUGUAACUUACUCUUCCUUUAAAAUAUUUUUGCUCAUUGUUAUAUUAAAAAAAAAGAAAAGAAUAAACAAUAUAAAAUCUUAGGAGAUUAUAGUUUUUGCUUAUGGGUUAUUUUAAUAUGUUAAAUUUAAAUGUGAUGCCUUAGAUUGUACAGUUAAAUUAACCACGUGCACGUAUGUUAGACUCAUCCGGUAAGAUUUUUAGUACAGAAUAUUAUCGCUGGAGAGCGCAUUAGUAACUAUGCAUUGACUUAUAUAUAAAUAUAUUUCAUAUAUAAUUUUAGCUAAGUUUACAAUUUUAUUUAACGUGAUUAUUUUUAUUACACAAAGUAAAUUGCCGAUCAUAAUGUAUGAAUAAGUAAAAUUCAUAGGAAGCAAAAUGUUCGGUCUUUUAAUUAAGCAAUGCAUGCGGAGAUCGGCUUAUAGAAUAAAUAAUGUUAAGAUUGAUAUAAAAUUCUUAUGUCAGGUUCCAAUAAAAGAAAAACAAACUCUACAACAGACUUCUACAAUCAAUGAUAAAAAUUUAACAGAAUCGAAGUAUCCUGAAUAUGAAAUAAUCUAUAGAUUUUCUUAUAUAAAAUAUAUAAGUUUAUAUCAUAUAUCUAAACGAAAUAUGUUAAUAAACAGUGGUGUAAUAAUGCCACUAAUGUUUUUAUUAUCUCAAGGAAGCAUAAUAUCUGAGGAAAUUGCUACUUUUGUAUCAAUUAUUGUAGGUGGAUUUACAUUGUCACUGUACUUGACUGGAACACUUUUUACCAAUCAAAUUGGUAUUAUAUAUUUUAAAGAUAAUGAAUCUAUAAAAAUUGCAUAUGUGAAUAAAUGGGGCAAAAGGAUAGAUAUAGAUACUUCGAUUAGUGAAAUUAAACCACUUCAAAGCAUUUCUUCUUCAACAGGAAAUAAACAUUUUAAAUAUAUAUAUAUUAAAUCACUUAAAUAUCCCCUCAAACUAUAUGUAAACCUCACUAUAAUUAAUAAUAAAGAACAACUGGUAAACAUAUUAGGUGAUUAUGAAUAAUAUCUAUAUAUUUAGACUUUAAAUUUAAUGAUUUAAUGUACAUAUUAUAAUAUCCAAAUAUAUUUAAUUAAACAAAA